rnacentral:tRNA from 1 species
ACUUCCAAAGGAUAAUAGCAAUCCAAUGGUCUUAGGAGCCACUAAUCUUGGUGCAAAUCCAAGUGGAAGUA